rnacentral:lncRNA from 1 species
GGGAGCUGCUGCCAGUGCCGAGUGCCGCCGUCGGGCUUGUCCUCACCAAGCCUCCGGCGAAAGCUGUGAAGGGUCGUGUUUGGCUCUUUUGCUCUUGGGGAUCUGGGGCCUUUGGGCUUUAUUGCCUUGGCUGUGCUGUGCUGUAGCUGCGUCACCUUCCAUCUCUCAGGAGUACCACUGUGUCUUCUAGAGGUUUCUGGGCUCAGGGAAGGGAAAGAACCAAGGAAGGCCCAGCCCAGACGAAGCCUUUUCUCAGGCUGCUCGGUCUGCACUGCGGCCCUGGCCUCACGGGAGGCACCUUAGUUGCUUCUGGAGCUUGAGCCUGGCCCUUGCCCUGUCCCAGCCCAGAACUGCGAGCCUGAGCCUGCUUGUCUCAUUCCCCUGCUGAGGGAGGGAGACAGUGCUCCGAAAGGGGUUCUUGGUUCUGACCCAAACAGUUCUGCUGCUCUGGAAAUGAAUCGUGGAUCAGGAGAGGCGUUGUAGGCGCUUGAAAAGCUGCCUUUCCGCUUGUGGUUUAUGAGCAAAGCCAGCCUUCUCUCUGGCCAGCCUCUCCCCUCCCUCACAGACACCUCAGGGCUUGAGGACUUUGGUUGGGGUGGGGGUCAGUGGCGAGACACACUCCUUUCCUUGACCUCCUGUCACCCCGUGAGCCUUGAGUCCUUCACCUCACCAGCUCCCUUGGCUGGGGCCCUGACCCCGAGCCCAUGCUGAUGGCCGCACCCAGGUUCAGCCAGGUUCCCGGGGUAGCGUUUCUCCCCGACCUCGGCAGCCUUGUCUGGUCAGGCAGGGUGCACACUGCACCCUUACUUUGCAGAGGGGACACCGAAUGCCGCUUGUCCCCUCGCCCACUUAGUGUGGUGGCUUCUCAAAUGGCUCCUGACCAGGGCCUAACUCUGUGCAUCUCCCAGGAACCCAGGGUGGCUCUGGCUGUCUCAUGGGCUGCCUCCAACUGCCAUAGGGCCUCCCCUCCAGGGCCUUGAGGCGGCACAGGGAAUGCUUGGCGGGGCUGGGGCGUGCCCUCUGCCCCUCUUGUCUUCUGGUGAGUCAGGAGCCACAUGCCUUGGGCAGGCUUCCUUUACUUCAGCCCGAGCAGCAUUUAUCCUGUUUCCCCAAAGUUUCUGUGAACUCAGGCCAGGUCUCCGGAGGUGGCCCUAAUUAGGGGAGGGACCUCCAGGGAUAGUGAGGCAGGAGGGAAGGUACUGGUGCCUGGCUCAGCCUGUUAGCCCCCGGCCCAGGCCCCCUGAUGUGCCUGCCCAGCCGUAUUCCUAGACAGCGGCCUCUGAGACUUGCUUUUUCUCACCCAUUCCGUGCAGAACUCACUGGACAGGAGGCAGGAGGCAGGAGGCAGCCAGUCUAGACCUGAAGCCCUCAGCUGUUCCAGGAGGGGCUUUCCUCACAAAGAGGAAGGGGGCCCUGCUCAGUCGCGGGCUGGGGGGUUCAGGAAGCAAGGCCAAGUGUAGUUGUGGGUAGAAAACCUUUCCCUACUUCACAGGAGCGCACGUGACAUUGGGCGCCUGGCUGUAGCUUGCUCGCACUCUGGCCUGGUGAUGGCCAAGGUAGUUUUUAGAAAUCUACUUAAAAUACCUAUCUGUUAUCUAUUUACGGUGUUUUUUCUGACUACGCAAAUGUAAAUAAUAUAAUCUGCAGUGCAAAGUCCUUGGCAAUAACUGUUGUAUAUUAUGUUAAAAACACUGGAGAAUGCGACCACCGUGGAUUGUCCUUCCCUCUCUGGGGCAACGAUUCCCUGUAGGACUCUGAACUUGCAACCUUCGGCGUGGCUGAAGCAGCAGCCUGCAUGUGUGGACUGUCACCAGUGCCUCGCCCAGAGAUGCCUGGCCUUCAUCCAGUGGGACUCUCUGCCACCCCGACUCCCACAGGCAGCGCCCACACUGUGGCUCUUUCACACCAUGUUGGACUCUGCAAUAGACUGGCCCUCUUGUCUGGCUGCUGCAAUUUGUCUGUAAUGCCCUGACAUGUUGCAUUUUCCCCAUUUGGAUGACUACAAAUAAAAGCUUCUGUCUUAAACAGC